rnacentral:lncRNA from 10 species
CACUCUGUCUCUCAGCCUUUCCACCGUCUGUUAGAGAGAAUUUCAGAGUUCAAAUGAGAAAAAAAUCACCACAUCGACACGUCCAAAUGCUUAUCGCUGUCUUUGGCAGCAUUUUUGUAUAACAAUUCAAGCUACGUUCUCCGUUUCGACCUCGAAUCAUUUAUAAAGGCAGGUCUCUCCCUGACGACGCAGGGAGAGAAUAGGCUGCCAGCGUGGGUGGUCUGGGGCUCAGGAGCCCAAACUCGGAGGGAACAGAUGACAUCAUGGAUUCACAUGGCAGGUUUAUGAAGCUGCAGUUCAGCUCUCCGGAGCAGUAGGCCCAAGUUGCUGCAUUAUCUCUGCUAGAGCAUUCAACGCUGGACAGACACGGGACAGGGAGAGUAGGAAAUGAUAUUUUUUAACUUGACAUUCAGGAAGAUUUGAAGAUUUACAAGCAUUAGCAGGAUACUUCUGAAGCUCUAUACACUGGGGGAAGGGAGGCUGGGCUCAUUGCACCCGAAUGAUUUUGCAAACCGGCACACCUACCCGUCCCUUUGCCUGUCUGAUUUGCUAAUUCUGUUUUUUUUUUCUUCCCCCUCCCAAAAAGACUGUUAUUGGCCUUUUCUCAGACUUCUGUUAGGCAUUCUGGGCUGGCACAGAGGAUCACUGAACACCACUUUCUUCACGGGCCUGCAGGAAUUUCAAUCUGGGGUGAGGUUUAUGCAAACACAAAUUAAAUCAGACAUCCAUGGAGUUUUCACCAGAUUUCAAGGUUAUCGGAAAACACCUGCCCUUCAUAAGAGAAUGUUCCUGAAUCCUAGCCCAGGGACCCACUGAGCUUUCUGCUCAUGACACAAUCUCACGAUCUUUCCCAGGCUGGAAUGCAGUGGUAUGAUCACAGCUCGCUGCAGCCUCAAACUUCUGGCCUCAAGCAAUCCUUCUGCCUCUGCCUCCCAUACUGCUGGCAUUACAGGCAUGAGCCACCACACCUGGCCAUCAUUUACCUUUUUGAUUGACGUUUUCUGACAUCUUGCCCAAGGCAUUUUUGUGGACAUUACCUUUCCUUCCAUCAAUGCACCCUGUCGUGUUAAAGAACACAAGAUAUCUAAGUGUAAAUGUCUGAAACUCACACGGCUUUCAUCCGCAACUGCCCCAAAAUUCAAAAUAGGAGAGAGUCUUAGGAAUGUCUGAAGAUUUAUGACUGUUUUUUAAAAGAGGGGGAAAAUUGUCACCAGCAAAGGAUAGCCUUGAGUUUCUUUUUCUGACCCUGCCAUAGCCUUGGGAGCAGCUGCAAGGGGACUUGGUUGUCAUAAAGAGGCCAUGCAAGGAUGCUACAGACAGCUGAGUCGCAAAUGCGCCUGAGCCGCUGAUCUUCGUGGGGUCCUGUAAUAAACACUCAGUUGUCCAACGAAAGGAGUCUGACUCCCACAGGGAAGUUGCCAAGAAAAAUUGAUCAGCCGAUGGAUUUUGCUUUUUGUAAACUCUGGCACUUAGACAUUUCCCUUUAACAGCGUUUGAGAUGACUUUGCUAGGGCGGCAGCUGGAAUGGGAAUCAGAUGGUGUCGGAAUGGAGCGGGGUCAAGAGCCUGCAGAGCCCAUGGAGACAAAAGACCUAGCUUCCAGUUCCAGCCACUCACAGGCUGUUGCUGGCACCUUCUCUCAGUCUCAGUUUCCUCACCUGGAAAUGAAUGGAGAAGAAUAGUAUCUGCCUCCUGAGUCGAUUUGAAAGGCUAAAUGAGAUAAUGUACAUGUAGAAGGAUGUCAGUGUUUAACCGGGGUUGCCAUGGAAACAACAAUGUCCCUGUGGUGGGGAGUUGCUUCUUUCCUUUGUCUGCUGCUUUGGAAUGAGUGGGUCGCUGCCUCUCUCCUCUCUUUUUUUGGUGGCUAAUGACUUGGGAUUUGGUUUUAACAGAUUAUAAGACCUAGUGACAAUAGGGAAUACAACCUUGGGAUUGAGGAUGAAGACAGUGUGUAAGGGGGGUUCCCUGGGGAUGGAGGGUGGGGUGAAAUAGUGUGGAGAAGAAGAACAAUUCUGGGGUCAGGAUGCCCAGGGUGGAAUUCUGGGGGCCAGCCCCUGGCAGUGGGGCAGUGCCAGCUGAGAUCAUGGAGAGGAGGAUCAGAGGGAGGGCUGCGAUUUCAUCUUACACUGUUACCUACUCUACACCAUCAGAAUAAACUGACUUUCCAAUGGACAGAGAUGCCCAGCAGGCCUGCAGAACUGGUUCUGCUCCAUCCUUGGGUGCCUGGUCCAUGGUUAGCUUGAAGGGACCCUUGGAUGCUAAAUGAAGUGGUAGGAUGAGCUUCCACCCUGGGCAAGGCCAAAGGCUGGGCUGAGCCAAGGAAGGACUGAACGUGACUGCUGAGUGGGGGCAGUGGUCUGUGAGCACUACUGCUAUAGGCUGAAUGUUUUUCUUCCCCCAAAAUUCAUAUGUUGAAAUCCUAACCCCCAAGCAAUGGCAUUAGAAGGUGGGGCCUUUGAGACAUGAUCAGUCAUGAGGAUGCAGCUGUCAUGAAUGGGAUUAGUGCCCUUAUAAAAGAGACCCAGAGAGCUUCCUUCCUCCUUUUCCAUGUGAGGAGACAGUAAGAAGCCUCCAUCUGUGAACCAGGAAGUGAGCCCUCACCUGACAUUGAAUUUGCUGGCAACUUGACCUAGGACUUCCCAGCUUCCAGAACUGUGAGGGAUAAAUGACUGUUGUUUAUAAGCCACCCAGUCUAUGGCAAUUUGUUAUAGCAACUUGAACGGACUGAGGCAGCCACCUCACAUGUGGAUGCCCUUCACAUGUGCUGGACACUGAAGGAGGCUGUUACUACCAUUUUCCCUGGUUGUUGAGAAAAACUUUCAAUACAGCAGUUACAAACACAGCUUGGUGUUUUUGUUUUUUUUUUUAUUUAAAUAUUUUUCAACUGGCUACUAGAAAGUAGCUGUUUGAGGUAAAGCAUCACCUAGAUUCUCAUAGAAAUUUCUUUGCAAUGCCAUCAUGCUCAGGGGUUUUCAUCUUGAAUAUAGGAAGAUGUUUGUUAUUGCUUGCUUGAAUAUCUGUAGAUGCCACUCAGAUUUAACAUUUCAUUUCUUUGUCCUUUUUUAAAAUUCUAGAUGAAAGAUCCAAUAUCUUUAUUUUUCCCCAGAUUCCCGCUGGGAACAGGAGCCAUUCAUAAACUUCCUCUGAAAGGUAGUCCUCCUGCGUCACCUCCUUCAGGACUCACAGCAAGUGUCCCAAGAGGACGGCAAGAUGUGACGGUCAGAUCACAUGCCUUCCGUCUUGUCUUUCCAAUCACCUUUCUUGGCAUUCUAUAAAUCAUCCCUCCUGCAAAGCCAACACCUAGUUUCUAGAUUAGGGAGUGUUUCCAGAGAGAGCCCAACGUGGAAAUCACAGACUGUUUGAACCAAAUCUCUGAAGAGCAUGAUCAGCUGAAUAAUUUUCUUGACGCAAAGCUGUCGAUGUCCAGGAUCGUCCUCUAGGCUGCCAGGAGGAGAGGGCUGGGGCCGCAGCACUUCAGAAAGAUGGCUGCACUGUGGUCGCUGGGGCUUCCUUUGAAGUCUGAAACCCACUCAGCAAGAUCUGAGCUGAUGCUUCCCUCACCUCCCGUGCAGGUAACAGUGGCAUCCCAGCCCUUCUGUUUUCUCAUAAAAUCAUGAUGACAAAUGAUUCAUCCCAGGUCACACAACUGAAAAAAUGGCAUAGUCAGAAACUGAUACUGAGGGUUCUCACCCCAAGAAGAUCUGCCUCUCGAGGCCUGAGGGGAAUUCUACAGCAAAACCUGCAGCCCUAAACUCCUGCAGUUGAAAGCCUGGGAUUCUGUUUAACAAUAAUGAAAAUCUUCAAUCAGCACCAAAGUGGAAAUCACGCACUAAUUGGAGUUCAAUGAUGCAGAUAAUAUGGAUUGGAGUACGCUGGCUGACAGAGAACUCCCCAGCAGCUGAGGCACUUUCUCUGCAUUUCAGCACUAGCAACAGAACCCAGAACAAAAAGGUAAGAGACAGAAGCUGUUGGGAAAAUUGUGUUCCCCGUAUCUGUGCAUUUCAUUUCUACCUGCAAUCCAGACCCCUGAAGAAUGAACUGUGGACAGACUUCAUCAUCACGAACACUCAGAAUCCUCUGUGAGUGAGAAGGACUGUGGACCAGCAGCCACUGCUGAGCAGUGUCAAGGGUACAUCCUUUGCUUUGGAGAGAAAGUCAUCACAUUCCUCGCCAUUGGUCUAAAAGUUAAAUUUGGCUAAAUGCUUUAAAAUGUUCAAGUUACUUAAUAAGUAACCAUGACAAAUGAGGCAAACCUGAUUUUGUCCUUCAGUGUUCGGUCAUCCCUUUAAGAGGAAUGACUAAAACAUAAUAAUACUCUUAAGGUGAUCUCAUUCUCUAAAAACAUUCCUUUAUAUCAUGUUUCUACAUAAGCAUCUCAUCCAUGUAGCUGUUAACUUCAAAAUUAACUCAGUCAUUUAAUUUAGUUCUGUUUCAAGUAACUAAGUCCUUUGUAACUCCAUGGAAGGAAAAUAAAUACGAAUCAACUUCAUUAUUUUUUUCAGGAGAAUUUGAUAUUUUCACUGUUUAUGAUUCACAGCAGUACUGAAAUCCAAAAGUAAACUGUAUAACUAAUUAUGUCAUUUAAAGAAUGAUUCCAAAUGAUUCAAUUCAUGGAAAGCUGUUAUGAGAAAAUGAAAGAAAAGUAAAAUGGGAG